UGCUGCAGGAAUGGUCUGUCCCUCCAGUGUCAGUGUUAUGCUGACGAAUGUGCAUAGUUAGCUGGUGCUGUGUAGUGCAAAUCUUUUCACACAGAGGACAGGUAUAGGAAGACUUCUCUUCUUUUGUUUCCUGAUUCCUCCUACCAAUCCGAUUUGGUGCAGGAGACUUCGAGGGAGAUUUGACAGUCUGAGAGGUCCCCCCAUUUUCAGCUAUCUUCCCC
rnacentral:lncRNA from 1 species